GAGAAAUAGGGGAACCAGAGCAAAGAAGGGACCGCCGACCGCCGGAUACCUGACGCUGGCGGGCGGCGGCGGCGGCGGCGGCGAAGACGUCCGUUGCGGCUGCGACGAAUCCAAGUAACCGGGGCCCUUGCCGAACUGGCAGGCGAGAUAGGUCCCCCGAUUCAAGCGGAGAUGGUUCACUGAUUUCCCUUCCCCGCCGCCAAUUCGAUCGGGCUCGCGGCUCGCCGUCUCUGCUCUCCCCAACCGGCACCAAGCCAGCCAAUGGCGCUCGAGGAGGCACAGCGGCCACUGUCCGCCGGCGUGGCCUGGCGCCUAACCGGAAGCUGGCUAGGCUCCGAACUGGUUCGAGGCUUCAAGCCGAUCCGCAUCUAUCCAGGUACGCACGGACGCCCCGACGAUGGGUUCGUUGCAAAAUUUCUCCGGGAACCAGUCAAAAUCAAAUGAUUUCCUACAAACAUUCGCCAUGCUCGCUGCUCGCCAUUGUUAUUUUACAGUGUCCUUCUAGAAAUACAUCACAACAACAUACGCCACUCGAGGCUAAACACACCAUUAUUUGCUAAUGGCUCUCGGGGUGGUUGGGCCGGCUGACACGCUCUGGAGGUAACGUUCGACGACGUCGAGUCCGCAGAGCUCCUUGACGACGGGCAUCGUCGCCGGCACGUCCAUCUGGAACGUGACGGCGGAGUUCGCGGGCCCGGUGCAGAUAGAGAACUCCUUCCUGGCGGCCCUGAUGGCCUCCCUCAUCGCACAGUGCACCGACGACGCGAGAAGAAGCGGUGGCUCGCCCGACGCUGCAAAGAUCCAAGCCGGAGUGUCAGGGUCGCAAGCAGCCACUGUUGCCAUGUUAUGCUGGUAUGGUGAUCUCAAGUUGCAGUAUUUUUUGUACGUAAGUUCUCAGGAGGUUCAGGAAAGUCUGCAAGAACCAAGGAUGCCCGAGGAGAUGAGACAUUCCAAGAGUAGCAGAGGCGGACGCAGUACACAGGCACCACAGGCCACGGCCUGGGCUGCCUCGCGCGUCUGUAUGGAGCAUGUAUUUGACCCUAGUUCAAAAAAGGAUGCAAAGCCCAGGCUACCGCAGGCCUGCACCGCAGUACUGGCUCACAGCCUAGGCUGCCAUAAAAUCCUGGGUCCGCCACUGAAGAGUAGGUUUACCUUUGGAUGAAAGGACACGCUUCCUAUCGCCAGCGCUGUUGAUUAACUCGACGUUGAACUGCUUCGGGAUGGUGUCGACCGUUGGAAUCUUGUACGUCCAUGUGCCGUCAUGGAUGACCAUGCCGUCGGUGUUCGUUUUGUACUCCUCGUUCGUGAAGAAGCCCACUCCUUGGAUGAAUGCGCCUUCCACCUGAGUGAAUCAAUAGCAGUGUUCAGAGCAGCAUAUUUCUGUUGGCAAACGGUCUAACAGCAUCAAGUUUUGUUUGAGGCUAACCUGGCCAAGGUCUACUGCAGGGUUCAGGCUCUGCCCGCAGUCAUGAAUGAGGUCGCUCCGUAGGAUCGUGGUUGCUCCUGUCAGUACAUCAACUUCCACCUGUGAUGACAUUUCCAAUCAUGUCUCAGCUUCGUGAAGAACUGAAACUGCAGCCUCCAACAAUUUGGCUUGUUAAUUGCAUUUACAGUGUUACUAUAGCAAUUUGGAUCAGGGCUACCUCACUAAUGCCAGCUCCAUAGUUUAAGUAACUCCUGGAAGUUGGGUUCCAGUAUGCAUGCGCUGAUAAGUUCACACUCGCCAUACUUGCCUGCAAAUGACGAACAAAUGGCACGGACAAUUGGAAUAGUAAAAUGAUGGGUAUCUCACACUUAUUUGCUACCCAUACUGAUCGCAGUACAUUGAUGAUGGAAAUGAGGGAGGCAAAAGAUUUGCAUGUGAUUCUUGGUAUCUGUUUCAAUCAGGUUAACUGGUAUAUGUGACAACAGAUAAAGUCAUAACAUAAGGGUAUUUUCACCUGAGCAAUCAAGGCACCCCAUUCCAUUGUGGCACCCUUAGCCUCCAAACUCUCCUUUACAGGCUUGAGCCUUUCAACAAGUCGAAGGCACGAAUGCCGAACCGCUUCGCAACUAUUUUCAGAAGUGGUGCUCCCACCGGUGAACCCUCCCUGGAUCAUGCUCAACGAGUCGACCUGGAUAAUCCGCACCUUGUCAAGGAGGCAUUCCCCGCCAUCAGCACACAGUUGUCCCAGCCCAAAUGCUGUCAUCUGCUUCACUUUCGUCCACAAGCCCUGGCCUAUCUCAACCCCUCCAAUCUCAACAGCAAUUGAACCGUCAUUCAUGAUAGACACCUUGCCUGGAGCAGCCCGAAGACUCACCUCAUAUGUGAUGGGUACACAAGAAAUGCCACGUUUCUUCCACUUGUUGCUGCUAUUGAAGUGCUCAACCAUUGUAGCUCUGUGCUGGUAGUCUGGAGACAAGGCCAGCUUAUCAAACAUGGUGGCCAGCGUGUAUGUGGGUGCUUCACCCGCACUCUCUCCGUAGAACGCUGCAAGACUCUUGAAGUCAUGAAGGUUCUUCCUCCUAAUGGUGUUGGUAUCGACUGAGAGCACCGAUGCAACAUGCUCAACGAUGGCUUCUGCAAUAAAUGAUCCCUGCACCUCUCCAGGAGCCCGCAUUGUUGACUUUGGUGAGACAUUCGUCUUGCAGAGCUUGAUGUCAAAUGCAAGAGCCCCCCAAUUGUACUUUUUGAAACUACCAAUGAUAGUAUUUGGCAAUAUUGCACUCAGAUCCGGUGUUAUUCCAGCAUUGAGACCAAGGUCCAAGUGCACGGCUGUGAUCUUGCCAUCUGAUUUGAACCCAACAGAAUACUUUGUCUUCAUAGGGUGUCGCCCACCCGCUAUUAUCAUGUCCGUCUUGCGAUCAAGGUACAUCUUAACAGGACGCUGUAGCUUGAAUGCGGCAACGGCGCAUGCACAUGCAAUCUGACAAGGAGGAGAUUCUUGGCAUCUCACAUCAUCCACUUUGGAUGGCAAUACAAAUAGACGAUGUUUAGCAAAGAAAAGCUCUAGUUAGUUAUGACUUACGUGUAUUGCUUUCAUUGCCUUUCCACCAAAGCCUCCGCCGACUCUUCUUGUGAUCACACGGACGUUGUGCAACGGAAUGCCAAGGCACCUUGCAACUACAUCUUGUGUGAUCUCAACAAAUUGCGUCGAGGAAUAGAUGGUUAUGCAGUUGUCUUCAUCAGGAAUAGCCAGUGCCACCUGUGUCUCCAUGUAAAAAUAGUAUUGGGAUUCAAGCUUUACCUGCGGAAACAAAAAGUACUUGGUGUAAGUUUCGCCCUUGCUGGACACUUUUUAGGUCUCGGAGUAUGCUCCCCCUUUUGGCCUUUGGAACAAAAGGAAGCACCAUGUAGUAUGUACCUCUGCUGACAAAGUGUGAUCAGCCUUAGAAACCCCUUGGUUGUAAUCACCAACUGGCUUAGGAGAUAAAAAUGUGGGAAUCUGGAAGUAGCUGCUCUGUUGGAUGGCAUCUUGUAUAGUCAGAAUUGGUGGCUGCAAAUUUUCUGUGCUAUACUCAACAACAGCUUGCUUUGCAGCCAUAUAAGCAUACCUUUGUGUUUCAGAAAUCUGUGUGAUCGAAAACCAACAUGGCGUGGUAAGCUUGAUAGAAUUUUCAAGAUUCUGGGUAUACACUGACUUAUUACUGGCUCAUUUAAUCUUAUAAAGGUCAGUUUAAGCAACCUUACCACGAUGCCAAUAUUUUGACCAGCAAAUUCAACAACUUGAUCUGCAAAAAGCACUUCUUCUCCUAACAUCGGGAAGCUGGAUCCUAUAUUUUGUCCGCCUCUGGGAAUAUCCUUUGCAGUAAUGACUGUGAUGACCUUCUGUGAAGCCAAAGAUGAUUUGAAGUUGAUGCCCUUCACAUGAGCAUGAGGGCGUGUGCUGUAGAUAAAUGCUCCAUACAAGCAACCCUUGGGAACAGGGAUAUCAUCAACGUACACAGCCUCCCCUGUAAUAUGCUGAAGAAAGGUUAUAAGCUGAUGCUGUCAAAAUAAUUGUUUUGGCAAGGCAGUACAUUGGAGGGGAAAUACCAGAAGCUUGGAGCUCUGCCCCGACUUUCUUGAUCGGCUUGCCAACUGGCUUGUAUUCAUCACCGAAAACCAUUUCUUGUCUUGAGUGUAUUGGUAAAUAAUUUCUGUCAACCUCAAGAUUUUCCUUCAGAGGAUAAGAAGGUGAACAAGAAGCUGACAGCCAAGCUGACCCUAUACUCAGGAUGUGUUGUGCCUUCUGGUGGUGAAACCGUCUCUUUAAGCAACUGAACUGCUUUAAGUAUAACAGAAGAGCUCAGUGAUUUUCCCUUUAGAAAAUCCUCUACCUUGCUAGCUCUGAUGGCAUGGUCAGCUCCAUAAGCACCGAACACCAAGCAUAUAUCCUCCAUGAUGUUCUUCCCUGAAGCUGCAUCAGUUGAAGUCCUUGCCAAGAGAGCAGCAUUGACAUAUGAAGCAGCAUUGCCAAAUGGCCGAGGCGCUGCCCGGAAUGUCUCAAAGGUGAUGCCAUCUGAAUCCCACUUUGGGAUGAAUAUGCUCAUCAGCAGGGUCCUAGAAUCACAUGGAGACUGCUGCAAGAACUCCUCCAAAGUAAGGCACAACCUUUUGGAAGCUGUCUGAAUUGUGACUGUUGUACCUGCAGCCAGUAGCACAGUUGCUAUGUCUGACUCGAAUGGCAACCUCUGCGCCAUGAUUAUGUUGCCACCUAUGGUUGCUGUGUUCCGAACAAAUGGCGAAGCCACUUUGCUUAGGUGAUCGGCAAUUUUUCUGAAGAUCAGAUUUCCAUCUGACAACACCUCAAUGGCUGUAGAGAUGGACACAACCGAUCCAAGCUCAAUUCCCUUAACGCUGCUGUUGAUGACUGAUAGCUCUGGUAUUCCUUUGAUGUCAAUGUACUUGUCAUAGAGGUCCUGAUCCUUGUACACUCCAGACCCGGUGUUUGCAGCCACAAUCUUCACAGAACUUUCAUCAAACCAGUAGGAAUCAAACAACCUGUGGAGCUCUUCAAUGCUUUGAGGAUGGUACCAGCCAUCACUGGAGACUGCUACUGCAGCACCAUCUGCAUUCUCCCUAGAGGACUUGAUCUCAGACUUGAGGAACUCAGGGAAGGUGCAGACUGCAGCACUACUGUAGCCAGGUAGUUUGCUGACGGUAGCAGGUUCAUCGCCCUUCCUCCAGAAGCAGUUGAGACCCAGAUCCUCAAGGUCCACGUCCGCCGCGAAGCUCUUGCAGGCGUCGACGAUGGGCCUGUAUCCGGUGCACCGGCACAGGUUGCCGGACACGGCCUUUUCAGCCUCCGAGGUGGUGAGCUUGGAGAAGCCUGUGGGCGGGGUAGGGCGGCUGGCCACCUUGUCGGCCUUGGCCAGCGCUGAGAAGAUUGACAUGCAGAUGCCCGGCGUGCAGAAGCCGCACUGGGAAGCGUGGAAGCCUGCGAGCCGCUGCUGCACCGCGUGGUAGCCAUCCUUGGUGUUGCCAAUGCCCUCGCUCGUGGUCACUGAGCAGCGGUCAAUGCUACGGAGCAGUGUCAGGCAGGAGCUCGCUGAGAACUCGGUCGCCUCGUCGGUGGCCGGGUUGUACUUGGAGAUAAGGACCACGCACGCACCGCAGCCACCUGCCGCAUUAGGAAAUUGCGAGCACACAACAGGUUAUUCCUCCAGUCUCAAAAAAUAACUGCGCAUCUGUUAUCAACAUUUAUAUCUCUAGUAUGUUUAUUAUAGAGAAUAUAUUUUAUUAUGAGGAAGUUUAUCGUGCUUAAUGUAAUUAUACUUAUUGUGCAUCAUAAAUGUUAAGCUCGCCUCUUAAAAAACGAGGCGUGGAGUUAUUUCUUGAUGGAUGCUGAACACGUAUAUAAGACUACAGAAGGACUAUCUUAUCAUUUCAUUGAGAUAAAAAUGCAAAGGAUGUUGUUAUUUUCCA